GCACUGGAAAUAAAGAAAUCACCAAUCAAGUAAGCCAAAAACAUAUUGAAGGUUGAAUAGCCAAGAAUUAGGAUGAAAGAAAUGAAAUGACUCAAACAUUACACAUGAUGUACCAUAUAAUUACUGCUUCCAGACACUGCAUAUAUAUAUACAACAAAAAUACAUGGCAUUUCUUCCAACUAUAACUUUGAGAAUCAGAUUUGCUAUACAAUUUACAUCCUUCCAAGAUAAAUUCACAACAAAUCUACAAAGCACAUAUGAGCAUCCCUCAGUAUUUGAAUCCAUGCAGAUAACUAUGUAAUGUAAUUUGCCAUGGUUUGCCUUUGCAUACACAAGAAACAAGCUAGUAUCUAAUUUUGACCAACAAGAACCACA
rnacentral:misc_RNA from 1 species